rnacentral:rRNA from 1 species
CCUAGUGGCAGACGGGUGAGUAACACGUGGGCAACCUACCGUAGAGUGGGGGAUAACUAACCGAAAGGUUAGCUAAUACCGCAUGAAACGUGCUGUGGCAUCACAGAACGUUAAAAGGAGCAAUCCGCUUUAUGACGGGCCCGCGUCCGAUUAGCUAGUUGGUGGGGUAACGGCCUACCAAGGCUCCGAUCGGUAGCUGGUUUGAGAGAGCGACCAGCCACACUGGGACUGAGAAACGGCCCAG